UGCCAGCAGCCGCGGUAAUACAUAAGUCCCAAGCGUUACCCGGAAUUAUUGGGUGUAAAGGGUCCGUAGGCGGAUCUAUAAGUCAGGUAUGAAAGACCGGAGCUCAACUCCGAGUUUGUGCUUGAAACUGUGGAUCUAGAAUCAGGGAGAGGUUAGCGGAAUUCUUAGUGUAGGGGUGCAAUCCGUAGAUACUAAGAAGAACACCAAAAGCGAAGGCAGCUAACUGGAACUCGAUUGACGCUGAGGGACGAAAGCGUGGGGAGCGAAGAGGAUUAGAUA
rnacentral:rRNA from 1 species